CCAGACUCCUACGGGAGGCAGCAGUGGGGGAUAUUGCACAAUGGGGGGAACCCUGAUGCAGCGACGCCGCGUGAGCGAUGAAGUAUUUCGGUAUGUAAAGCUCUAUCAGCAGGGAAGAAAAUGACGGUACCUGAGUAAGAAGCCCCGGCUAACUACGUGCCAGCAGCCGCGGUAAUACGUAGGGGGCAAGCGUUAUCCGGAUUUACUGGGUGUAAAGGGAGCGUAGACGGCAGUGCAAGUCUGGAGUGAAAGGCGGGGGCUCAACCCCCGGACUGCUCUGGAAACUGUACGGCUGGAGUGCAGGAGAGGUAAGUGGAAUUCCUAGUGUAGCGGUGAAAUGCGUAGAUAUUAGGAGGAACACCAGUGGCGAAGGCGGCCUGCUGGACGAUGACUGACGUUGAGGCUCGAAAGCGUGGGGAGCAAACAGGAUUAGAUACCCUGGUAG
rnacentral:rRNA from 1 species